UUUUUUUUUUUUUUUUAAAAGCCUGAAAUCCAGAAAACCAAAGUCUGAUCUUACGACCCUCAGUCAAAAGUCUAAAAUCAAAAUGAGCCUCACUUUCUCAAGAGCUGAUCCGAACCUUGCAGUCUAGCCUGAAGUUGAACAGGGAAUUACCCAAACACAAAAUACAAAUGACAAGGAAGGACCAAGUGGCACUCACCAGCCUGGCUGUGCUCUGAAUCAGCCAAGCUUCAUUAAAAAGGCCGGCAAACUUUUGCAUUUGCUUUUAUUUCAUCCUUUUUAAAGGCUGAAACAGAAUCUGACCUUUCUGAGUCAUUGCAGGCCAUGAAUUGGAAACAAGCUCGAGGUAAAAGACAGCAUCAGUAUAUGACCGCUCAUCACUUCACUUUUCCGCUCAUCACUUCACUUUUCCUUCUUCUUUUUUCCUUAUCUCUUUCACAGAGUUUGCCCACCCGCUCUAUUUUUAGACUUCUAGCAGAACUUCCAGUGACUACACAUAGACCCCGUGGGACAAAAAAAAAAAAAAGAGUCCAAGUUCAGUGCCAUCCUCUCACUGCUGGCUAACACCAAUUAGCGUUGGAAAAGAACAGAGGAGUUGAUAAAUGAAAACGCAUCACACUCAAUUUUAAUUUUUUUCGAGAUCGAAAAAGUCCAUAAAUUCACAAGCAAAGCAUGGAGCCGUGGCGAGCACCAGCCCCACGGGUAGAGACACCAACCUACACGUCUGCUCCGUCUCGGGGACACAGACAAGGGGAAGCUGCUCAUAAGAGGAGAAGCUGAAGCUGCUGUGGGUCCACUGCACCCAUUGCACCGGGGGAUACACACUUCAUGUGAAUACUUUUUUCAAGUACUUAACAAAACCUGGUUGAUUUUGAAGUCUGAGUAAGAGUGAGACUGGCCUGCAACACUGCAAAAGGAAUUAAAUGGAAGAAGGGAAAAAAAAAAAAAAAAAAAGAAUGAAAAAAAAAAAAAAGACCCUGUUCGCAAGGAAGUAAAUUGCAAGGAAAAGCAAGAGACAAGCCAGGGCUCGGGCGGGCUGGCAUGGGUGUGUUCUCUCCUUUCUUUCUUUCUCUCUUUCUUUCUCUCUCCUCCCUCCCUUCACCCUCCCUCUCUCCAAAAGGAGAGAACAAAAGAAGUUGAUACUUCAGCUGUACAUAUGGACUCCAGAGCUUUCUGCCUAAUGUCUGCUUCCAUGCCCACAAGUUUGAAGAUUCACUGGAACAUUAAAGCUCCUUGGAACAUUCGCCUCGCGUUCGUUGGGGCAUUUCAGGGGACCCAGCCGGCCCCCUUCCCUGGCCCAGCGUGCGGGGCUGCACAGCAGAGCAGGGUAUAUGCCAGGGCAGCCUCGCAUUCAGAUCGAGACCACAAAUUAUAAACAGUUUCAGUAAAUUGACUCGAGUGCUUUUGUUCCCCAGACAUACAUCUUCCUACCGCUUACAAAGGCAGGCAGCAGAACCUAACCACCAAUGCGACUACAGCCAGGACCGGGAAAGGAAGUUAUUGAAGCCUGGAUUUCCUGCUUUUGCUUGUAGCCAAGAACUAUGAGGCUCGUAGUGGUUUCAGGAACUGACUCAUCUAAUGAUUCAUGGAUAAGAUACUGCUUUUAAUAUGUUUCUGACCCCAAGACUCAGGAACUUCAAAACCAACCUGAACCUAUGCUUCACUCUUAUUUGCAAAUGAGUAUUCACAGCAAAAUAGCGAGGAGGGCAAUGGUUUAAUGAAAUAAAAAGUGACGCCAACGGCAGGAAAAGUGGUGUGCGGACAUCCCAUCUGAAGCCGUGAUCAAAAGCCUGGUCUGUGGGCUGUGACUUGACAGCAAACUUCCCAAAAGUGGAUAACAGGUGGGAUAAGGUUUAUUUUUAGAUGUCAUUCCCCUAGAUGUAAAAAUAGAUUUAGCACAGCAAUAUUUUAAUUCAGGCGCAUCUGGGGUUGUGACUCUAAAUACCCGAGAUGUGAAGAAGCAUGUAGCUCUGGAUUUAACUGUUAAAAGAGUUGCAAACCACCGGAGGGUUGAGGGUUAGCUGACCAAUGAGUAAUGGGCAAUAAAGGACUCCUAGUGGAACUCAUUCUCUUAAAUCACCCUCUACAGAACACUGCAAUUCAGGACUUCCACACCGUCCUCUGCCUCUGAACAUUGUUCUCUUCACCCCACCACACACAUGCAUGCAUGAGCGGACGAAUGGGGACAAACAUACGGACACACACACACACACACACACACACGCCCAGGACUGAAGAGCAACGCUCUCUAAAAGUACAGAGUCGGGAGCUCGUGCCUCUGGCUGCUUCCCACAGGUCCCCACGGAUUCGUUCAUCAUCCAGAAGUCCCAUUAUAGGGAUAAGUUUUCAAUCCUCCCCUGCCCAUCAGUAGGGUUUCCCCUUCCCUCCCACAGUGGACGGCAUCAAACACAGGACCAGUUUCAGGGAUGGCUUUCAAAGGGUUUACAGGUUUCAACACCAGCCCAGCAGCGCACAGAGGGGAAAAGGAAAACAACACUGUAGGCCGGUUGGGGGGUGGGGGGCGGAGGAAACAGUGAGAACAGUUGACCAGGCAAGGCCAAAGUGCAGGGGCUGGCUGGCAGGCGCUGCUCGGCGGGGCUCCUCCAACAGAUUUACUGACAUGACGUCAGUGGCUCCGGUCCAGCUUUUUCUUUGGUAGCUUUUACCACUGGCCUCCUGAAGCCUCCACUAUGUCAGAGAGCCACAGGACCACAAUGAAAAUUCCCUUUGUGAAGCGGAGUUUACCUCCGGGCACAGAGGCCUGCCUGCCUGGGAAUGACAGGGCUCCUUGCCCUCUCUCUGUGCCCACGGAGGAAAGGGGAGGGAGCAAGCCCCUACAAUGCUGUCCUCUGCUUUGGUACAGAGGAACCAUUAAAUGAAGCUCACUGCCUUAAAAAAAAAAAAAAAAAAAAAA
rnacentral:lncRNA from 1 species